UACGUAGGUGGCAAGCGUUGUCCGGAUUUAUUGGGCGUAAAGGGAGCGCAGGCGGUUUCUUAAGUCUGAUGUGAAAGCCCACGGCUCAACCGUGGAAGGUCAUUGGAAACUGAGGAACUUGAGUACAGAAGAGGAAAGUGGAAUUCCAUGUGUAGCGGUGAAAUGCGUAGAUAUAUGGAGGAACACCAGUGGCGAAGGCGACUUUCUGGUCUGGUACUGACGCUGAGGCUCGAAAGCGUGGGGAGCGAACAGG
rnacentral:rRNA from 1 species